UUGGCUGAGGUUGGCAAUAUAGCAGUUAGCCACGCCCUCCGAAUGCGCAGUAGUACUAAAAGUGGUGUAUGCACAUGUAACUGUCAAUAUACAAAUCUCAGCUUAAUCAGUAUCAUAUUUUAAUAUCUACAUUUCCUUUGUAUGAAUUAUUUUAAAUUACCCUUCAAAUAUGGACAUAUUUACUAAAAUGAAGUAUGAAUUAUUUUAAAUAGCUCUCCAAAUAUUGACAUAUUUAGGAAAAUAAAGUACGAUUAAAACGGAAUUACAUUUUUAUGGUAAUGUGGGCGGAUGUGCAUACGGUGGGAAAGGCCUGAGGGAUUCGGGCCCUUUGUCGAUUUAUCAAGGUUUUUAUGUGACAGAUAGCGAUCCGGUGACAGUUAUUAAGGACGAUCGCGAGGAGAGGCGUUUUAAGGAUAAUUAAAUUGAUUUAGUUCGUUUGAAGUGCAUACUCUUGAUAAUGAAAUCGUGCAUUAUGCACUUUAUGGGGUUGGAGAUAAAGUUAACGUGUAU